CAUUGCCUCAGCUGCUGCAUCAGGGGAGGAGAGUGCGAGCACCACCCUCGGCACCCUGCAGUACAAACGGUGCCGAAAAUCAGGCGGCAGAAGCUCGGUGUCACACCUCGCUGCCUGGGAAGCAGCCUGUGUGGAGAGACGGCAGCCUGGCCAAAGCGAUGUCUUCACACUGAGGUCUUCUUGUUGGCAGCACUGAAAUCCUGACAAAGCAGUAUUUCUCCACAUAACUGAAGGUCACUCGCCACUAACAAGCGCUUCAGCAGCGUGCAGAGCUCUGAGUGGCUGCGGAGCAUGUUGUGAGACCAGGACCAGAGCAACAAAACAGGCUGGGAAAAUGUUUUCCUUAGUUUUACAGAGAAGAAACCACUGCAGCAUUAUGAAGGUAACUGCGUAGCUGCUCCUAAGUGGCCUUUUUGCUUCUGUUUUACAUCCUGCAAAAGUGACCUGCCGUGGUGCUGACUGUGUGCUGAUCACUUUACCCCAGAAAUACCAGGUGGUGGACGGAUGGCCCCCUGCCAUGUGAGGUGCAAGGGAGAGCUGUGGUGUAGUGAAUUCCAAGUUCAAAUUCUCUCAGCGUUUGGAGAGGAACAAAGCAUUUUGCCCCUGGUAGCUUUUGCCGAAGACUUUCCGUGCUGUGAACAGGCAGGAAAAUCAGUUCCUGGCACUGCGCUAAUUAGAGCCCAUCUGAGGAGGAGAGAAGUGAAUCCCAACAAUGCAGCUCAACGGUAGUGCUAAAAUCUUGCAAUUAAACUGUGCUGCGGGAUUAUGCAUAUUAGCACAUGAAUUACUCUUUAAAUGAUAAACAUCAGACCAAAUAAUUAUCUAAAGCUUCUGGGAAGGGACAAUCAGUGAGGCUGGGCUGGCAAAACGUGACGGUUUUCUUCUGCAAAGCCCAAAUAAGUCUACAGCUUGCUGAAAACACACCAAAUUGUUCAAUGGGACUGAACAGCUGGGUUAAGCAACAUCGCUUCUCUUUGCC
rnacentral:lncRNA from 1 species